AUCGGCGGCAGCGAUCUUAUCGCCGGCGAUCUCGUCCGAGAGCGCGCGCGGCACCGUCGUCAACCUCCAGCGCUCGCAGGAAAUGGCGGACGAUGAGUUAACUGAUAUGAUGUAUGACAUGGAGUUUGGAGAACUGAUGAAAGACUGGAUAGAAGAUUGGUCAGAUGAUGAAAAUUCAGAUCGUGGAGAUAGGUCAGAGAAUGGGAACGUAUUGGAAGAUCUUAAUGAAAACAAUGAGCAUGAUGAUGGUG